CGCGGCCUAUCAGCUUGUUGGGGGGGUAAUGGCUCACCAAGGCAUCGACGGGUAGCUGGUCCGAGAGGAUGAUCAGCCACACUGGGACUGAGACACGGCCCAGACUCCUACGGGAGGCAGCAGUGGGGAAUCUUGCACAGUGGGCGCAAGCCUGAUGCAGCAACGCCGCGUGCGGGAAGAAGGCCUUAGGGUUGUAAACCGCUUUCAGUAGGGAAGAAAAUGACGGUACCUACAGAAGAAGGUGCGGCCAACUACGUGCCAGCAGCCGCGGUAACACGUAGGCACCAAGCGUUAUCCGGAUUUAUUGGGCGUAAAGAGCUCGUAGGCGGUUCAGUCAGUCGGGUGUGAAAACUUGAGGCUUAACCUCAAGAGGUCGCUCGAUACUACUGUGACUAGAGUGCGGUAGGGGAGCGGGGAAUUCCUGGUGUAGCGGUGAAAUGCGCAGAUAUCAGGAGGAACACCAGUGGCGAAGGCGCCGCUCUGGGCCGUAACUGACGCUGAGGAGCGAAAGCAUGGGUAGCAAACAGGAUUAGAUACCCUGGUAGUCCAUGCCGUAAACGUUGGGCACUAGGUGUGGGUCUCAACCAACGAGAUCCGCGCCGUCGCUAACGCAUUAAGUGCCCCGCCUGGGGAGUACGG
rnacentral:rRNA from 1 species